CAUUUUACCCUGCGCUUUCAGAGUUGCUUCAUACGGGAAGAAAAUCAAGCCUUCUUCCCAAUUCCUCAACCUCUUUCUAUUAUCAGCAUCUGGAUAUGCCAUUGUGUUCCUUACUCUAUUUUGGGGGGUACCCUUAUAGCACAUCUGGUCGAUGAACUGUUCAGCACCACGGACAGCAUUGCAGUCCGUAAAGCCAUUUGUCUAUUUCAGAUAAUCUUCCCGCUGCUGUGUCUCAUUCACUUCCCCCUAUCUUGGUUAAGCAGCAGUUUGACUGGACCAGGGGACCUCUCAGAACUGGGGCGGUGUCUCCUUGGAUGAAGAAGCAGCCCUACCAUCACGAGGGCCAGAGUUCAGAUCCCCAUCACUCCCGUAAGACACUGGGCACAGAAGCAAGAAUCUGUAAUUCUAGUGCUGGAAAGGCAGGAUCCCAGAUCCCUGGACCUCACUGGCCGGCCGGCCCAGCUAGCUGGGUAAGCUACAGAUUCAGUGAGAGACUAUCUCAAAGAACAAGGUGAGCUUCCAUAAGUGCAUAGGCCACACCCACACCCCCCCACACACAGACACACACACACACACAGACACACAC